rnacentral:pre_miRNA from 1 species
CCCUUUGGUUAUUUGGCUAUAUGAGCGCCACGAUGUCAUAAAGCUAGGUUACCAAAGCU